CCUACGGGUGGCAGCAGUGGGGAAUAUUGCGCAAUGGGCGAAAGCCUGACGCAGCGACGCCGUGUGAGUGAUGAAGGUCUUCGGAUCGUAAACCUCUGUCAGCAGGGAAGAACGGUCACUGUGCUAAUCCGCAGUGCAUCGACGUUACCUGCAAAGGAAGCACCGGCUAACUCCGUGCCAGCAGCCGCGGUAAUACGGAGGGUGCGAGCGUUAAUCGGAAUUACUGGGCGUAAAGCGCUCGUAGGCGGUAUGUCAAGUCAAGGGUGAAAUCCCCGCGCUCAACGUGGGAACUGCCUUUGAAACUGGCAAACUGGAGUGUGUGAGAGGAGAGUGGAAUUCCAGGUGUAGGAGUGAAAUCCGUAGAGAUCUGGAGGAACAUCAGUGGCGAAGGCGACUAUCUGGAACAUAACUGACGCUGAGGAGCGAAAGCGUGGGUAGCAAACAGGAUUAGAUACCCCAGUAGUC
rnacentral:rRNA from 1 species